rnacentral:rRNA from 1 species
UACGUAGGGGGCUAGCGUUGUCCGGAAUCAUUGGGCGUAAAGCGCGUGUAGGCGGUCCGGUAAGUCCGCUGUGAAAGCCAGGGGCUCAACCCUUGGAUGCCGGUGGAUACUGUCGGGCUUGAGUACGGAAGGGGGCGAGUGGAAUUCCUGGUGUAGCGGUGAAAAUGCGCAGAUAUCAGGAGGAACACCAAAUUGCGAAGGCAGCUCGCUGGGACGUUACUGACGCUGAGACGCGAAAAGCGUGGGGGAGCAAAAACAGG